GACGAACGCUGGCGGCGUGCUUAACACAUGCAAGUCGAACGAUGAAGCUGGAGCUUGCUCCAGUGGAUUAGUGGCGAACGGGUGAGUAACACGUGAGCAAUCUGCCCUUGACUCUGGGAUAACUGCGGGAAACUGUAGCUAAUACCGGAUACGACACCUUGGGGCAUCCCGGGGUGUGGAAAGAAUUUCGGUCAAGGAUGAGCUCGCGGCCUAUCAGCCUGUUGGUGAGGUAAAGGCUCACCAAGGCGACGACGGGUAGCCGGCCUGAGAGGGUGACCGGCCACACUGGAACUGAGACACGGUCCAGACUCCUACGGGAGGCAGCAGUGGGGAAUAUUGCACAAUGGGCGAAAGCCUGAUGCAGCAACGCCGCGUGAGGGAUGACGGCCUUCGGGUUGUAAACCUCUUUUAGCAGGGAAGAAGCGAAAGUGACGGUACCUGCAGAAAAAGCACCGGCUAACUACGUGCCAGCAGCCGCCGUAA
rnacentral:rRNA from 1 species